rnacentral:rRNA from 1 species
UGGGGAAUAUUGCACAAUGGGCGAAAGCCUGAUGCAGCGAUGCCGCGUGAGGGAAGAAGGUCUUCGGAUUGUAAACCUCUGUUUUCAGGGACGAUAAUGACGGUACCUGAGGAGGAAGCUCCGGCUAACUACGUGCCAGCAGCCGCGGUAAUACGUAGGGAGCGAGCGUUGUCCGGAAUUACUGGGUGUAAAGGGAGUGUAGGCGGGAAAACAAGUCAGAUGUGAAAACUAUGGGCUCAACCUGUAGACUGCAUUUGAAACUAUUUUUCUUGAGUGAAGUAGAGGUAAGCGGAAUUCCUAGUGUAGCGGUGAAAUGCGUAGAUAUUAGGAGGAACAUCAGUGGCGAAGGC